rnacentral:lncRNA from 1 species
UUGGCCUUUGCUCGGAUGAGCAGCACUUCCUGAGCAUCCUUCACAUUCUCAGGUCUGCCUCCCCACUUCUUCAGGCAAGUGUUUUGAAGGGCUCUUGCAUAUGAGAAUGACACAUGCCAUGGGUUUGGAGCUUGGUUCAUUGCAUUCAAGUUCAAGGUAGCCUCAACUUCAGACUGCCCACCAGACAAAAACUGCCAAAAAAAUGCAACCAAACAACCAUUAGCUGCUAAGUUUCCUCUAGGCAUGUUAAAUAACUUAUAUUAUAGUAGCCAAUUACCAUGAUUCCAGGGACAGCUGGAGGGAUUCUUUGGCGGAGGAGGCUGAGGGUGUAAUCAGCAACUUGUUGAGGAGUAGCCCUGUCCUUGCACUCCGCACCGGGAGUGACCAUACUUGGCUUGAGGAGGAUACCUUCAAACAUCACAUUGUUCUGGGCAAGAUAGAAGAAAACCUCAGCCCAUAC